rnacentral:misc_RNA from 1 species
GAUGAAGAACGCAGCGAAAUGCGAUACGUAAUGUGAAUUGCAGAAUUCAGUGAAUCAUCGAGUCUUUGAACGCACAUUGCGCCCCCUGGUAUUCCGGGGGGCAUGCCUGUCCGAGCGUCAUUGCUGCCCUCAAGCACGGCUUGUGUGUUGGGCCUCCGUCCUCCUCCCGGGGGACGGGCCCGAAAGGCAGCGGCGGCACCGCGUCCGGUCCUCGAGCGUAUGGGGCUUCGUCACCCGCUCUUGUAGGCCCGGCCGGCGCUUGCCGACACAUCAAUCUUUUUUCCAGGUUGACCUCGGAUCAGGUAGGGAUACCCGCUGAACUUAAGCAUAUCAGUAAGCGAGGA